GGCAGGAACAGACCUAAGAUAACGAUACUGAAUCAUCACAGAUGAUGGGAAGGCUCCAGCAUUUGCCAGAAAAGGUCUCUUGCAAUCUAGACAAGAUGCAGCUGGUUCCGAAUCACCACCCUGGGAGGAUGCCUCCUCUCUGGGCCCUGGCUGGUUCUGAAGAAUAUGGAUGAACCUAGGAGACUACCACGUACUGGAUCAAGAGGAAAGAAAACAAAAGCCCCCUCUCCUCCAUCUCCUUCCUCCUUGUUCCCCCCAAUGAAAAAACCUGUAUUAAAUCCUUCUUUGGGCA